UGAGUUUUGAGUUAAAUCCAAUUGCUAAAACUAUGCAAUACAUGUGCCACUCAAUUUACAGUACGAACUUCAUACAGACUUGAAGUGUCCAAUUUCGUUGACCUAGUGAAUUCGGAUCGAGCCCAAAACUUGGGCAACAUCAUAAUAUGGUGAGAGGAGUCAUUUGGUGAGUAAUGAGUGAAAUCCAAUUACUAAAACUAUGCAAUAAACCAACCACCCCAUUUGCGUACUUACUUCGUAUGAACUUGAAGUGUCCAAUUUCGUUGACCUAGUGAAUUUGGAUCGAGCCCAAAACUUUGGUAACAUCAUAAUAUGGUGGGAGGAGUCACUUGGUGAGUUGAAAUCAAAUUGCUAAAACUAUGCAAUACACCAACCACUCCAUUUACGAACAAACUUCAUAAGAACUUUAAGUGUCUGAUUUCUUUGACCUAUUGAUUUUGGAUUGAGCCCAAAACUUGAGCAACGUCAUAAUAUGGUGGGAGGAGUCUUGUGGUGAGUUUUGAGUGAAAUUCAAUGCUAAAACUAGGCUUAUUUACUGUAGUGCCCCCUGAAACUUCAGUCAAAUCUCACUUUGCCCCUCCAAACUUAAAAUGACCCACUUUCAUCCCUUGACCGAGGUUUGGUGACUCACUUUGCCCCCUACCGUCAACGCCGUCUAAAAGUCUGUUAGCUUUGAUGACUUGGCAGAGGUGUUUUUGUAAUUUCGUAGACAUAGAUUAUCAUCCACCAAUUAGAUGAGUGACGUGGCAAGUGGAGCCCACCUCCACAUAAAAAAAAAUUCUAAUAAUUAAAAAAUAACUAAUAAUUAAAUUAAAUAAGAAAAAAAAUAUUCAAACAAUUAAAAAUUGUACCCAGUACACAAUCCAACGCCCACCCAGAUCCCACCAUCUUUCUCUCUCUCUCUCUCUCUCUCUCUCUCUCUCGCUUUCUAGGAUUUGUAUCAGAGGAGACAAAGUUUUCUCUCC
rnacentral:lncRNA from 1 species